rnacentral:rRNA from 1 species
GUACGGGGGGAGCAAGCGUUGUUCGGAUUUACUGGGCGUAAAGGGCGCGUAGGCGGUCGUGACAAGUCACUUGUGAAAUCUCCGGGCUUAACUCGGAACGGUCAAGUGAUACUGUCGUGCUAGAGUACAGAAGGGGCAACUGGAAUUCUCGGUGUAGCGGUGAAAUGCGUAGAUAUCGAGAGGAACACCUGCGGCGAAGGCGGGUUGCUGGGCUGAUACUGACGCUGAGGCGCGAAAGCUAGGGGAGCGAACGGG